CUCUAGCUCUCUCUCUCUAGAGGAACCAUCAUUCCUAUAUGGUGACCCAAAUAGGGUACACGAAUUCUCUGCACUUUUAUCGCAUAUAUAUAAAAUUAGAAGUCUAUACUUAAUAGAAAACUUCUUAUUGGUAUUAUAUAUAUCUCAAAAGGCCAAGAGAUAUAUCCAUCCAAGAGUCCUAAUCUUUUUGGAUUUCUAUUUCCCGUAGGAAAUUUAUCAAAUAUCAAUAUCAAUCCCAAAUAAUAUGGAAAUAUCUCAAUCCCACAAAAUAUGAAAAUAUCUCAAUCCCACAAAAUAUGGAAAUAUCUCAAUCCCACAUAAUAUAGAAAUAUCUCAAUCCCACAAAAUAGGAUAAUAUCUCAAUCAAUCCCACAAAAUAUGGGAUUUUCUUAUGUGGGUGAUUUUGGAUAGCACCAAAUCCAACAAUUUCAACCCUAGAUAUGGUCAAAAUGAGUCCCCUCCAACAACGAAUCUGAACCAUUCAUUUGGGAAAUUUCAAGAUCUUAGCUUUUAUAAACUAAAAAUCCUUUUUUUUUUUUUUAGCAUUGUUCAUAUAACGAUAAUAAAGCCAUCUAAAAAAAUU
rnacentral:lncRNA from 1 species